CCGUGAGGAUGCAUACAACAGAGGCAACAGAGGCUGUUGUUGGUCUCUCUCUCUCUCUCUCUCUCUCUCUCUCUCUCUCUCUCUCUCUCUCUCUCUCUCUCUCUGACCUUUGAUCUUUUGCCCUCUCUUUGUGAAUUCUAAUUGCACCGCCUCAGGCUUGGUCUGGUGAAGUUGUUUUCCUACCUGUUUAAAAUCUAAGCCCCGACAUUAAAUUGAUUUUGACAAGCUAAGUGUCUGGAUUAUAAUGUUCAAAUCCAUCUGGCCUGUCUGAUGGAUUCGGGUAUGAGACCCUGUUGGAUGACUUCAUGUUGACCCAUCCCAUCUUCCUCACAGCCGACCGGCUCCAGCAAGUCCUACUACAGCAAUUCUCCCUGGAGACGGAGGGCAG
ensembl:lncRNA